AUAUUUUAUUUCCGUUAUUGUUAUAGCCCUCAAUGACGAUUAAAGGUGCCCGCAUAUGCUUAGUACGGGGGAGAAAUUUGAUUUGAAAUCUAGUAGUAAAAGAACCCCUGAAGUACACCCCAGUUCCAAAUUAAAUUUUUAAGUUUAUUUUUCGGGGUUUCUAUUGGCCAAAAGAUUAUAAUGCAGAAACAAAAGUAGGUUGAGGAACUGAACCAAGCUACCGCCACGGCUGUUUCGCUACGGUCAAACCGCGGACAAAAUUAAGAUGGCUUCCACAAUUUUUUUGGAAAUUUUGUAUUUUUAUCAUUUUUUAAAUUAUUGAAACUUUUUUUGUGUUGUUUUAAUUUUACUGAAUUAAAAAGUAUUAAAACGAUCUACUUUUCCCCUUUUUAAAUAUAUAAAUAUGUUAUAUAUGUGUGUUAUAAAUUUCGAGUUAUUUCGUCAAACAAAACACACAAAACUAAAAAAAAACAUUAUUUUUGGCGAAAGUAUACCAUCUUUCCAACCUUGUGCCAACGUCGCGCUACUAGCUACGGACUUGAAAAUUGGUAUGGGGGGCCUGGAAACAUGGUUCUAUUGGCCGGUACCGUGCACCGUUCGUCUCGCAAACUAUAAACUACAUAAAUUUUAAGUUAAAGUCUUCUUUAGGCGCUAAAAAAGAGGAGAAAAAGUUGCCAAAGUGGUGCACGGCGAUUUGAUGUAUUGUGAUCCCUUUUCUGUCUAAUUAAAUAAUUCUCUAAACUUCUAAGCAAGUCACAGUGAUGGCGUUUAAUGUUUUGGUAGGUAUGGUUUUUCCCAGCAAAAUUACGGCAAGCCGGUGUUUACUUUUGACUUGAUUGCUCGACCCGGGAAUCCUAAUCCGAAACCGGGAUUUUUUGAAAAUGUUGGAAUAAGCGAGACAACGGUGUCUUAGCAAUUUUGAAGCUAGCUAAAGUUUGGCAGAGCACGAGUUAAGACUUUGGUGGGCUUUUUCAAGAUAAAAUUGUUGAAAUCAAAGAUGUUUAUGGCUAGCUAGCUAAUCUUGGCUUUAUCACAAGAUUGGGUGCUAUUUUAUACAAUUUAUAAAGAAACACAACAUGAUUGCUUUGUAUAUAUUUAAUGUAUAUAAUAAACUAUUUAUGCACAA